rnacentral:rRNA from 1 species
UACGUAGGGGGCUAGCGUUGUCCGGAUUUAUUGGGCGUAAAGAGCGUGUAGGCGGCCAUGUAGGUCCGGUGUGAAAACUCGAGGCUUAACCUCGAGAUGUCAUCGGAAACCAUUUGGCUAGAGUCCGGAAGAGGAGAGUGGAAUUCCUGGUGUAGCGGUGAAAUGCGUAGAUAUCAGGAGGAACACCGGUGGCGAAAGCGCUCAUCUGGCCCAAUACUGACGCUGAGGCGCGAAAGCUAGGGGAGCAAACGGG